CUCGUAGGCGGUUUGUCGCGUCUGCUGUGAAAACUCGGAGCUUAACUCCGGGCUUGCAGUGGGUACGGGCAGACUAGAGUGCGGUAGGGGAGACUGGAAUUCCUGGUGUAGCGGUGAAAUGCGCAGAUAUCAGGAGGAACACCGGUGGCGAAGGCGGGUCUCUGGGCCGUAACUGACGCUGAGGAGCGAAAGCGGUGGGGAGCGAACA
rnacentral:rRNA from 1 species